rnacentral:rRNA from 1 species
AGCAGUCGCCGCGGUAAUACAGAGGGUGCGAGCGUUAAUCGGAUUUACUGGGCGUAAAGCGUGCGUAGGCGGCUUUUUAAGUCGGAUGUGAAAUCCCUGAGCUUAACUUAGGAAUUGCAUUCGAUACUGGGAAGCUAGAGUAUGGGAGAGGAUGGUAGAAUUCCAGGUGUAGCGGUGAAAUGCGUAGAGAUCUGGAGGAAUACCGAUGGCGAAGGCAACCAUCUGGCCUAAUACUGACGCUGAGGUACGAAAGCAUGGGGAGCAAACAGGAUUAGAUACCCGCGUAGUCCCUGUCUCUUAUAC